rnacentral:lncRNA from 1 species
UUUAUUUUCGUAAAUCAAUAGAAUACAUAUGUUCAUUUUAUGAACGUGAGAUUAUUGAGUUCAUGUUUAUGAUGCAUGAACGUGCAAGUAAAAUGCAUAUCUAAAUUGAUAAUCGUACUUAAUAGUUUGUACAAUUAUAUUAUUAUUAGGUUCCAGCCUGCACCAGAGUAUACAAUGAUGCGGUGUUAAGAGUGGUCAUAUAGAUUGAACGCCAUCAUACAUCAUACAACAAACAACAUAUCUACGUAUAAUAGUGAAACUGUCGUGCACGAUACCAUAAC